rnacentral:rRNA from 1 species
AGGGAGUUACGGUAGGCAAAUCCGCUGUAACAACUCUGAGGCGUGAUGGGGAAGGUCAUAUAGGCCGAAGUACAUGAUUCCAUGCUUCCAAGAAAAGCAUCUAGAGAGAGAAGUAGUGCCCGUGCCGCAAACCGACACAGGUAGAUGAGGAGAGAAUCCUAAGGCCGGCGGAAGAAUUGCAGUUAAGGAACUAGGCAAAUUGACCCCGUAAGUUCGCGAGAAGGGGUGCCUGCGAGAGCAGGCCGCAGAGAAUAGGCCCAAGCAACUGUUUAGCAAAAACACAGGUCUCUGCUAAAGCUUAAGCUGAUGUAUAGGGGCUGACGCCUGCCCGGUGCUGGAAGGUUAAGGGGAACACUUAGCGCAAGCGAAGGUGUGAACUUAAGCCCCAGUAAACGGCGGCCGUAACAAUAACGGUCCUAAGGUAGCGAAAUUCCUUGUCAGGUAAGUUCUGACCCGCACGAAUGGCGUAAUGACUUGGGCACUGUCUCAACUGCAAAUCCGGCGAAGUUGUAGUGCGAGUGAAGAUGCUCGCUACCCGCGAUUGGACGGAAAGACCCCGUAGAGCUUUACUGUAGCUUAGCAUUGAAUUCCGGUAUUGUCUGUACAGGAUAGGUGGGGGACUGGGAAACUAGGGCGUCAGCCUUAGUGGAGUCAACCUUGGGAUACCACCCUGACAGUACUGGGGUUCUAACAGGACGCCAUGAAUCUGGUGACUGGACAUUGUUAGGUGGGCAGUUUGACUGGGGCGGUCGCCUCCUAAAAAGUAACGGAGGCGCCCAAAGGUUCCCUCAGAACGUUCGGAAAUCGUUCGUAGAGUGCAAAGGCAGAAGGGAGCCUGACUGCGAGACAUACAAGUCGAGCAGGGACGAAAGUCGGGCUUAGUGAUCCGGUGGUACCUCGUGGGAGGGCCAUCGCUCAACGGAUAAAAGCUACCUCGGGGAUAACAGGCUGAUCUCCCCCAAGAGUCCACAUCGACGGGGAGGUUUGGCACCUCGAUGUCGGCUCGUCGCAUCCUGGGGCUGUAGUAGGUCCCAAGGGUUGGGCUGUUCGCCCAUUAAAGCGGCACGCGAGCUGGGUUCAGAACGUCGUGAGACAGUUCGGUCCCUAUCCGUCGCGGGCGUAGGAAAUUUGAGAGGAGCUGUCCUUAGUAAGAGAGGACCGGGAUGGACUGACCUCUGGUGCACCAGUUGUUCCGCCAGGAGCAUGGCUGGGUAGCUAAGUCGGGAAGGGAUAAACGCUGAAAGCAUCUAAGCGUGAAGCCUCCCUCAAGAUGAGAUUUCCCAUAGCAUAAGCUAGUAAGACCCCUUGAAGAACACAAGGUUGAUAGGUCAGAGGUGUAAGUGCGGUAACGUAUUUAGCUGACUGAUACUAAUAGGUCGAGGGCUUGAUC